rnacentral:rRNA from 1 species
UUACAGAAAGUAAACGCGGAUCAAACCGCGAACUUCUAAACCUUUGACGAUUGACUCAUGUUGCCUCGGCGGGUGCUCCCGCCAGAGGAUACAUCAAAACUCCUGUUUUAACGGUGUUGUCUGAGCUACAAGCAACGAAUCAAAACUUUCAACAACGGAUCUCUUGGUUCUGGCAUCGAUGAAGAACGCAGCGAAAUGCGAUAAGUAGUGUGAAUUGCAGAAUUCAGUGAAUCAUCGAAUCUUUGAACGCACAUUGCGCCCCUUGGUAUCCCGAGGGGCAUGCCUGUUCGAGCGUCAUUUCACCACUCAAGCCUGGCUUGGUGUUAGGCGACGUCCCCUUUGGGGACGCGCCUCGAAACGCUCGGCGGCGUGGCACCGGCUUUAAGCGUANCAGAAUCUUUCGCUUUGAAAGUCGGGGCCCCGUCUGCCGGAAGACCUACUCGCAAGGUUGACCUCGGAUCANGCAGGGAUACCCGCUGAACUUAAGCAUAUCAAUAAGCGGA